GUGCCAGCAGCCGCGGUAAUACAUAGGGGUCAAGCGUUGUCCGGAUUUAUUGGGCGUAAAGAGCUCGUAGGCGGUUCAACAAGUCGGUCGUAAAAGUUUAGGGCUCAACCCUAAAAUGUCGAUCGAUACUGUUGUGACUAGGAUGCGGUAGAGGUGACUGGAAUUCUCGGUGUAGCAGUGAAAUGCGUAGAUAUCGAGAGGAACACCAGUGGCGAAGGCGAGUCUCUGGACGAUUCCUGACACUGAGGCACGAAAGCUAGGGGAGCAAACAGGAUUAGAUA
rnacentral:rRNA from 1 species